UGCGGUUAGGGAUUCAAACCCUAGCCCGCUGCCACCAUAUGCUCCACUCUCUCUCCUCGUCAACUGACCAUUUUUCGAAAGUUUUUAGAGAACCACAGAUCGUUCAGUACUUGCCAUGGUUUGUUUUGGCAAAGCAUUAAUUGUUUCAAUGGUUCACCACAUUCUAUCUGCCAAACGACGCCCAAACAAGCCCAACAGGUCAAUUCUUCAUAAUAUAGACGAUUCCAAUGAAGAGAAAGGGAAGCAAAUAUUGUAGAUGCGCAUGAAGGCCCAGCCAUGGGUAAAAAUGACCAAUUAGGGGCUUGGUACGCCCCUAGGCUAUCCCUUCUCUUUUUAUUGUUAUGUCCUCUUAUUUUUCAAAUUGCUGUAUUGUAUUCAUGUACUUGUAAAAAGCUUGUAUUAUAGUGGAAUCCUUUUUGGUUGAA